rnacentral:rRNA from 1 species
GACGAACGCUGGCGGCGUGCUUAAUACAUGCAAGUCGAACGGAAAGGCCCUGCUCUUGUGGCGUGCUCGAGUGGCGAAAGCGUGAGAAUAACGCGUGUAACCUCUCCUUUUCUUUGGGAUAACUUCUGGGAACUGGGGCUCAUAUCCGAUAUGAGCUCUUGCUGCAUGGUGGUGAUUGGUAAGUUGCGGCGGUUGGGGAUGGACUGGCGGCUUAGCAGCUUGUUGGUGGGGUAGUGGCUUACCAAGGCUUCGAGGGGUAGCCGGCUUGAGAGGGGGACCGGGCCCAAUGGGACUGAGGUAGGGCCCAGAGGGAAACGGGAGGCAGCGGUGGAAAAUAUUGCACAAUGGGCGGAAGCGGGAGACAGCGACGCCGCGUGCUGGAUCACGGCUUUCAGGUUAUAAACCGCUUUCGACUGUAAAGAAGCGGUAGUGACGGUAACGAGUAAGAAAGCACCGGCUAACUACGUG